AAAAACUACAAGCGAUGCCUCCUGCCCACAGCAGAUCGUUCUCCGCCGCCAACCAUCCCUUGGCACGCCCGAUCCACCCCUUCGCCCCCGCCGGACAUCCAUCCCUGAGCAGCGGCCGAUCCUAACCUUAGUAGUCGCCCUCGUACAUCAAAGCCGCCGCCCGUCCAUCGUAUGAUCCGCUUCAGGAGACAGCGCCGCGAUCCCGUUUAGGAGACGCCGGCGAUCACGCCCAGGAUCCGACAGCGAUCCCCUUCUGGACACGCACGCCCAUCCCCUGCGCAGGCGCUGAUCCUCGUUGAGGAGCCGCCGAUCACACCCAGGAUCCGACGGCGAUCCCGUUCAGGAGCAGGUACGUAUGGGGAAUCCACAAAGCAAAGCAGCGGAACGUAUGACAUUGUUAGAUGUACCUCCAGAUCUUGGAUGGGACAAAUGAUGAUGAGAACUACCCAAGUUUGCCAGAACGGUUGAUACUUGAACCUGCCGAACAACCGGUUGUUCCCCAAUGCACUGACGGUGAUCCGCAUAAUGAGAUUGUGAGUACUGAAGUUGUUGCGGAUCAGAUGGAGGGGACAAACGUUGAUGAUAAUUACCCUAUUAGUACAGGUAUGAGGUUGUGCGGAGAGAGUACUCAUAAUUUUAUUCUCAUUAUGUGAUGAAUUAUAUCUCUGUUACUUGUAUGAACCAACUUUAGAUCGGUCCAUACCUGAACAGGCCGCACAACCGGUUGUUCCCCAACCCACUGAUGGUGAUAUCACAAAGGGAAACGUUUGCUGCCGGCGCGCCGGCCGAGCGUUCGGCCGGUCCCACGGCGCGUUCGAUCAAAACAGAUCGCACGUCUGUACACGAACGAAACGCACCGCUUUUUUGUGGGUCCAGCAACCGCUCCUCCUUCUGCCUUAUCUUCUCCCGCAAAUCACUCUCGUCCACUCACUUUUCUUCUUCCUCUGUUUGCCUGAGCUAUCUCCUACUCUUCUCUGUCUCUCUCGCCCAUUUUCUCCUCCCAUGAGCACCACAAAGUGAACCAUCGACCCGGCACCAUACCCUCAUUUUUCUCUCUCAGCUGCAUCCGCAACUGCUCAAGACGACGACUGCCGCAUCAGGGGGCGGGCCGUGGUGCUGGAGCAGAGUCCGACGAUGCUGGAACCAGCAGCUGCCGGAGGUGGAGGCGGCGACAAGUGCUGGAGAUCCGGCGAGUUUUUUUGCUGGAACCACGAAGGCUUUUUGCUGGAACCAGCUCUAAUUUUUGCUACCAUUGUAUUUGAUUUUUUUGUUGGAAUCAAGCCAGAUUUUGCUACUACGUUUGUUUUUUUGCUGGAACUAGUAUAGCAAUUUGUUACCACCAUGUUCGUUUUUUGCUAGAACUAACCAAAAUUUUGUUGCUUUGCUUGUUUGCUGGAACCUUGUGUACCACUUUUUGCUACAAUAGUUUUGUGUUUUGCUACUACUGACGCUCUCAUUUGCUACAUCCUUUUUCAUGAGGAUACCGAGGAUCAUGACUAUGUUUUUCUUGUUGUAACCAUUGUCGAUUUUUGCUACUACCGGCGAAGCCCCGAGCUGGACCAGAAGCUGUUUGAGCGUUUCUGCAAUUUUUGUUGCAACUUGCAACUGACACCCGCAAAAGCUUCCAUCGACAUGAUUUUUUGCUACAAUUUGAGCUGCAUCCGGCUGUUAGGUUUCCUCGACGGUGGCGAGUUUUUUGCUUACCGGCGAGCUGCGUCGGCAUUCGGCGAUGGCGAGCUGCGUCGGCGUGCGCAGUUGCAAUCUCAUCUUGAUUGGGGCGACGAGACCUGCAAGCGGGAGACAGCUUGGGGCGACGAGCAAGCGACAAGGACGUCGGCGAGGGCCGCGACCGGCGACGAGGACGGCCGGCGAGGGCCGCGACAGGCGACGAGGAUGGCCGGCGAGGGAGACAUCCAUAGAGCGUGUGCCCCGGCGAGAUGAAGGGAUAGACGAGAUGCGAGAAUCCUUCGUAUUGGCGAGAAGAUGCAGUGCAUCGGACGGUUACAAUCCAGAUCCACGAUAUCGUACGGCUGCAGGCAGACCGGCCCAAAUUUGGGCCGGCGCGCCGGCGCCUAGUACGGCCCUAUCACAAAUGUUCAGCGGCCUUCCCAUCUGAUCUCAUGUGAGUAUCAAACAUAAUGAAUAAUUGACGCUCUCCGAUUAGCAGUAAACUGACUCGUUAUGUCCACUACCGGUCAUUUUUACAUCACUAGUAAGCAUGCACGUGCAACGCACGACUCUCAAAUAUAAAAAAGGUUUUAUUAAUUUUA